AUAAUUGAAACUUCAAAUAAAUAUCUAGAUAUUUUCCCUACACAAACUUGGUGCCCAAGUCUUUAAUCUUCUUCUCCAUUUGAGUGUGGGUGCCGAACCAUUCAAGAUCAAAACACAAAAAUUUACUCUUUGUUUUUCUCUCAAAAUUUUGUUAACGAAAAUCGUCGGGGAUAUUGCGUAGAACGUUAAUCUCUAUUUGCAUGUUCGUUUGAGAUCCAGCGAGUUUUGUCGCGGAAACCGGCGAGCAAAGGUUUUGAAUAUUCGACGGGUGAUAUUUUUAUAUUUGGAAUAAGCGAGUACUGCGAGUAGUUUGACGUGUGGAUUUCCAAUUUCUUGUUCCGGAAAUCCCUGGCUUGAAUAAAGUGACAAUGACUUUCCUUUAUGUGUCUAGAGUUGCAGUAGCUAGAAUAAU